rnacentral:lncRNA from 1 species
GUAGGGUGGGUUCAUUCUUAAAGUGGGUCCCACCGCUUAUUUGAAAAAAGAAGAAAAAUAAAAUAAAAGAAAAAAAGUUUUUUAUUUGUGUCAAACCCAUUUGGAGUGCAUUUAAAAGAGAUUUUUUAAUCCUAAAGCAACAUAAUAAAUAAGCAACUAAACUAGGAUUUUAGAGAACAACAAAAAUAGAGAAGAGGAAAAGGC